AGUCAUAUGCUUGUCUCAAAGAUUAAGCCAUGCAUGUCUAAGUAUAAGCAAUUAUACGGCGAAACUGCGAAUGGCUCAUUAUAUAAGUUAUCGUUUAUUUGAUAGCACCUUACUACUUGGAUAACCGUGGUAAUUCUAGAGCUAAUACAUGCUGAAAAUCCCGACUUCGGAAGGGAUGUAUUUAUUAGAUUAAAAACCAAUGCCCUCUGGGCUCUCUGGUGAUUCAUGAUAACUGCGCGAAUCGCAUGGCCUUGCGCCGGCGAUGGUUCAUUCAAAUUUCUUCCCUAUCAACUUUCGAUGUUUGGGUAGUGGCCAAACAUGGUUGCAACGGGUAACGGAGGGUUAGGGCUCGGCCCCGGAGAAGGAGCCUGAGAAACGGCUACUACAUCCAAGGAAGGCAGCAGGCGCGCAAAUUACCCAAUCCCGACACGGGGAGGUAGUGACAAUAAAUACUGAUACAGGGCUCUUUUGGGUCUUGUAAUUGGAAUGAGUACAAUUUAAAUCCCUUAACGAGGAACAAUUGGAGGGCAAGUCUGGUGAACGUUGCUGGUGCCAGAGAUAGCCGCCCCUCGAUAAAUAAAGCAGCUAGUCGAGUGCUCAUGAAGUGACGGGUGAGCACCGGCGAGACAACCUGGGUCGGGGAAGGCUAAGGGCCCCCGCAUGGGGCCUAUGCUAAUCCCGAGCAGAGCCGGUACUUCGCGGCCUGUGUAGAGCGCGCCAAGGUGUCGGUCCGGGGGGUUCGCAUCCCCCCCGGGCUUAAGGUACGUGCCAAUCCCCUGCGAAAGCAGGGCCCUGCGGACGGAGCACCCGUCAUGCGAAGCCGCAGGGGGCAGGGGCGCCCGCCGGGGCGCCCCCGCCGUGAACGACAGUGGCCAGCAGCCGCGGUAAUUCCAGCUCCAAUAGCGUAUAUUAAAGUUGUUGUGGUUAAAAAGCUCGUAGUUGAACCUUGGGCCUGGCCGGCCGGUCCGCCUCACCGCGUGCACUGGUCCGGCCGGGCCUUUCCCCCCGCGGAACCCCAUGCCCUUCACUGGGCGUGGCGGGGAAACGGGACUUUUACUUUGAAAAAAUUAGAGUGCUCCAGGCAGGCCUAUGCUCGAAUACAUUAGCAUGGAAUAAUGAAAUAGGACGUGCGGUUCUAUUUUGUUGGUUUCUAGGACCGCCGUAAUGAUUAAUAGGGACAGUCGGGGGCAUCAGUAUUCAAUUGUCAGAGGUGAAAUUCUUGGAUUUAUUGAAGACUAGCUACUGCGAAAGCAUUUGCCAAGGAUGUUUUCAUUAAUCAGGAACGAAAGUUAGGGGAUCGAAGACGAUCAGAUACCGUCGUAGUCUUAACCAUAAACUAUGCCGACUAGGGAUCGGACGAUGUUAUCUUUUGACUCGUUCGGCACCUUACGAGAAAUCAAAGUGCUUGGGCUCCAGGGGGAGUAUGGUCGCAAGGCUGAAACUUAAAGAAAUUGACGGAAGGGCACCACCAGGGGUGAACCAGCGCACCGCACUGCCGCAGUCGCUCUGCCCCUAAGAGCAGCCGGAAAACCGGUCGGGUGGGCUCUUGGCCGCCAUGGCCGAAACGCAUGCUAGUCGCCCCCACCCGGGGCGGCGACACCCUCAAAUUGCGGGGACUCCCUAAAGCCAACCGAGACCAAGCGGCGCCCGAAAGGGCCCCGUGGCCGAGCUAGCAGCCCUGGGUAUGGUAGAACGUCGGUUGGAUGAUAGCAAUGGGUGAUCCGCAGCCAAGCGCCUAACCGGCAGGUUGCCCCCCCCCGGGGGGGCGCCGUCGCCGCAGGGCGAAGGUCCAGAGACUUGACGGGGGUGGGUUCGGCCGCCGGGCGGCCGGGCCUAAGAUAAAGUCCGUCCGGGCGCGAAAGCGCCACGGAGCCCCUAAGAAAACGGGAGCCUGCGGCUUAAUUUGACUCAACACGGGGAAACUCACCAGGUCAACUGUCUGGGCCUGGAACAGUGGCGAGGCCUUUGUGCCUCUCGCCUGCUAGUAUCGAAACUCAUCCGCGUGGGGAAGCCCCCGUUGUCGGGCGCGGAGCGGUCGCCGCAUGGCCGGCCGUAGUUCGAUGCGACACCAGCUGGAACAGGGGACGCCUCCCUGCGGGAAACCGCAUAGGCCGACCCUGUGGCGAGCUCAGGUUGCGCUGAGCCGUCGCAACGCGCGCUAAGCGGUGGGCCGGUCUGCUAGGGGCAGCCCGGCUUAAGGUACGCGCUAAUCCCACGGGAAACCGUGGCUCCCCCGAAUAGGCCCGACAGCGCCGAAGCGGGAGGAGGCUGGCGGGCGCCCCUAGGGGCGUCGGUCCAGCGCCCACGGGGGGUCGCCCCCCCCGUGCUUGCCAGACACAAUGAGGAUUGACAGAUUGAGAGCUCUUUCUUGAUUUUGUGGGUGGUGGUGCAUGGCCGUUCUUAGUUGGUGGAGUGAUUUGUCUGCUUAAUUGCGAUAACGAACGAGACCUUAACCUGCUAAAUAGCCCGUGCUGCUCCGGCAGCACGCCGGCUUCUUAGAGGGACGAUCGGCUCAAGCCGAUGGAAGUUUGAGGCAAUAACAGGUUGACGCAUCUCAGGCCUGUCACAGUGGGCCUCGUUAAAUAUGACCGCUAGUCUAGCGACUUUACCUCCGCGGGGAAGCCCCCGUUGUCGGGCGGAGGAGGCGCCUCUCGUCGCCGAGGGGCGCCCUGUCGCGGGCGACACCACCUGGUACAGGGGACGCCGGCGGGCCGCCGGCCGAUCCUGUGGCGAGCCUGGGUAGCGCCAGGCCGUUGCAACGCGCGCAAAGGGGUGGGCCUCCGGGCUUAAGGUACGUGCUAAUCCCGUGGGAAGAAGAAGAAACCACGCCCCCGCAACAAGGCCCGACAAGCCGAAGUGCGGGGUGGCCCGGGGCGCUACGGCGCGCCGGGCCGGUACAACUGCUGUGAUGCCCUUAGAUGUUCUGGGCCGCACGCGCGCUACACUGACGGAGCCAGCGAGUGCUUCCUUGGCCGGAAGGCCCGGGUAAUCUUGUUAAACUCCGUCGUGCUGGGGAUAGAGCAUUGCAAUUAUUGCUCUUCAACGAGGAAUCCCUAGUAAGCGCAAGUCAUCAGCUUGCGUUGAUUACGUCCCUGCCCUUUGUACACACCGCCCGUCGCUACUACCGAUUGAAUGGCUCAGUGAGGCGUUCGGACUGGCCCAGAGAGGUGGGCAACCACCACUCAGGGCCGGAAAGUUCUCCAAACUCGGUCAUUUAGAGGAAGUAAAAGUCGUAACAAGGUCUCCGUU
rnacentral:rRNA from 1 species